rnacentral:rRNA from 1 species
CAGUGGGGAAUAUUGGACAAUGGGCGAAAGCCUGAUCCAGCCAUGCCGCGUGAGUGAUGAAGGCCCUAGGGUUGUAAAGCUCUUUCAACGGUGAAGAUAAUGACGGUAACCGUAGAAGAAGCCCCGGCUAACUUCGUGCCAGCAGCCGCGGUAAUACGAAGGGGGCUAGCGUUGUUCGGAAUUACUGGGCGUAAAGCGCACGUAGGCGGAUUGUUAAGUUAGGGGUGAAAUCCCAGGGCUCAACCCUGGAACUGCCUUUAAUACUGGCAAUCUCGAGUCCGAGAGAGGUGAGUGGAAUUCCGAGUGUAGAGGUGAAAUUCGUAGAUAUUCGGAGGAACACCAGUGGCGAAGGCGGCUCACUGGCUCGGUACUGACGCUGAGGUGCGAAAGCGUGGGGAGCAAACAGGAUUAGA